UUCAAGGUCUGGAUAUCUCCUUUGGUGAU
rnacentral:piRNA from 1 species